rnacentral:sRNA from 1 species
UCAUUCUACCCAUGUGUCUAUCCUGAUUGUGAUACUGACUUCAUAGAAGGUGAUGAGUAUAAGAAACAGUUGCUAGUCUAGUCCAUACAGUGGCAAUUCAUUAGAAAGGAGUGAGCCAGCAUUGAAAUUCUCAUAAGAACAGAAAAGUGAAAUUGAGAUGGUCUGAGUACUCUAAAUGAGGAUGGGAAAGUGAUACCAAGAAGAAGCAGGGGAUGAAGAAGAGGAACAACAGUGAAGUGGAGGACAUAGGACCAACAAGUCAUAACAGAAAGAAGGCCAAGUGGGACCCUUUAGAGCCUUUGGAUACCGGCCUGUCUUUAGCAGAGGAUGAAGAGCUGGUGUUACAUCUGCUAAGAAGUCAAAGCUAAAUACUUCCUGCACCUGCCUUCUCCUUGAAACCUUGGUUACGAUUGUGUAGGCAAGAAGUUGAAAAACAGUUGAUUUGGGGGCACUUAGGUACCAUAUGCCCCAUUCCCAAAGGGCACAUUUCUGGAUAGAAGUGAUCGUAUCUCCAAGUCCCUCUCGCAGGACAUGCUUUGUGCCAUCACUGAGCAUACUCAGAUCGAGGGUGGAUGAUGCCAUUUCCUGACCCCGUUUUCCAGCAUGUGUUCUGUUAGAUUUUUACCCAUGAGUUCCUACGCCUUGUCAUUGGAAACACUGCCUUUGUUUUACUGGCAAGUUCUGGAGCUCUUGUGUCAUUGUUAGAAAUCCCUGUCUUGCUUACUGUACAGAAGUUUCUGUUACUGUUAAAAUUGCUCAUGAUUUCGAUGUAUUUAAUAUUUUCAAAGAGACUAUGAUGGACCAGCCCUGAGAAAGAAUGAGUAUUUUUGAAUUGAGAUGAUCAAUAAAAAACAUAUUUCCUAUAAAAGA